rnacentral:tRNA from 1 species
GCGCCAAUAGUUUAUCGGCAGAAUUUUUGCUUCCCAAGCAAAAGGACCGGGUUCAAUUCCCGGUUGGCGCA